UACAUGGAGGAGAGGACCCCCGAGAGGCGGCCCGAGGGGCUCAGCUCGGCCGAGACCGGGCGCGCCCCGUUGGCCAGGCUUGCCCCGCCGCCCGGCCGCUCCGACGGAGGGUAGAUGGGGCGGAGGGAGAUAAUGCAUAAGUGUCCGUCCUGGAGGAACACGUUUUCUAUGUCUUCUCAGAGAUCCUGAUAUGUCUAUUUUGAUGUCACAUAUUCCAAACUGAGUCUUUUUUUUUCACAAAAAGAAUUGAGCUGUAGCUGUAGUUCAGACCCCUGUUCCUUUCCUCCCAAUGGGAAAAAGGCAUGCUGUUCUAUUUUCAUGAGCCUUCCUUAGAUCUUGCAAAACAUACGGACAGCAGAGGCUGGAUGAUCCAGAUGGCAUGAUAGCUAGAAGGAGGGAGUGCAUCCCAUUGUCAUUAAAUAUAAAAGCAACAACAAAAACAACCAAAAAAGGAUUCACUUUUGGAGGUGGGGAGUUCAAUUGAAGGUUAGAAAGCCUUCGUUUUAAUAGGAUCGAAGUGAAAUUACUUAAUAAGAAAACGCUGGACGGCAGGCUUAAGUGCUUUCUAAGCCAUUUAAGGAAACAGAAAAAAAUGGAGAGGGAAUACAUACUUGCCCAGAGCGAGGAAAAUGUGCAAAUGUCCAAGCCAACUCCACUACAAGGUUUCUUGCGAUGGAUGCUAAAGAUCCCCAGAAAACUCAGGUUGGUGGGAAGCUUGCUAACUGCUAUCAAGUCAAAGGUGAUUUAUGGUGACUCAAUGAAUGAGAGGCCUCCAAGUCAUCCUAUCAUCAACUAUUCAAUAACUCGGCUCAAUCAUUAAUCAGAAUGGAGACGGCUGUGAAGAAAUCAGAAGAAGACUAGAGGAUUAUUGUAUGUUUUCCAGGCUGUAUGGCCAUGUUCCAGAAGUAUUCUCUCCUGUCAUUUUGCCCACAUCUAUGGCAGGCAUCUCCAGAGGUUGUGAGGUAGAACUUGGAACGAGCGGAUGCCGUGAAGACUAGAAGUUGGAAGGAGAGGAUACCGUGAAGACUAGAUCUUGGAAAGAAGUGGAUGCCGUGAAGACUAGAUCCUGGAAGGAGAGGAUGCCGUGAAGACUAGAACUUGGAAGGAGAGGAUGCCAUGAAGAUUAGAAUUUGGAAGGAGCUGAUGCUGUGAAGACUAGAUCUUGGAAGGAGAGGAUGCCAUGAAGACUAGAACUUGGAAGGAGAGGAUGCCGUGAAGACUAGAACUUGGAAGGAGAGGGUGCCGUGAAGACUAGAACUUGGAAGGAGAGGAUGCUGUGAAGACUAGAACUUGGAAGAAGAGGAUGCCAUAAAGACUGGAACUUGGAAGGAGAGGAUGCCGUGAAGACUAGAUCUUGGAAGGAUGCUGUGAAGACUAGAUCUUGGAAGGAGAGGAUGCCGUGAAGACUAGAUCUUGGAAGGAGAGGAUGCCAUGAAGACUAGAACUUUGAAGGAGAGGAUGCCAUGAAGACUAGACCUUGGAAGGAGAGGAUGCCAUGAAGACUAGAACUUGGAAGGAGAGGAUGCCAUGAAGACUAGAUCUUGGAAGGAGAGGAUGCCGUGAAGACUAGAACUUGGAAGGAGAGGAUGCCGUGAAGACUAGAACUUGGAAGAAGAUGAUGCCGUGAAGACUAGAUCUUGGAAGGAAAGGAUGCCAUGAAGACUAGAUCUUGGAAGGAGAGGAUGCCAUGAAGACUAGAACUUGGAAGGAGAGGAUGCCGUGAAGACUAGAACUUGGAAGAAGACGAUGCCGUGAAGACUAGAUCUUGGAAGGAGAGGAUGCCAUGAAGACUAGAUCUUGGAAGGAGAGGAUGCCGUGAAGACUAGAACUUGGAAGAAGAGGAUGCCGUGAAGACUAGAACUUGGAAGGAGAGGAUGCUGUGAAGACUAGAACUUGGAAGAAGAGGAUGCCAUGAAGACUAGAACUUGGAAGGAGAGGAUGCCGUGAAGACUAGAUCUUGGAAGGAGAGGAUGCCGUGAAGACUAGAACUUGGAAGGAGAGGAUGCUGUGAAGACUAGAUCUUGGAAGGAGAGGAUGCCGUGAAGACUAGAACUUGGAAGAAGAGGAUGCCCUGAAGACUAGAUCUUGGAAGGAGAGGAUGCCAUGAAGACUAGAACUUGGAAGGAGAGGAUGCCGUGAAGACUAGAACUUGGAAGGAGAGGGUGCCGUGAAGAUUAGAACUUGGAAGGAGAGGAUGCUGUGAAGACUAGAACUUGGAAGAAGAGGAUGCCAUGAAGACUAGAACUUGGAAGGAGAGGAUGCCGUGAAGACUAGAUCUUGGAAGGAUGCUGUGAAGACUAGAUCUUGGAAGGAGAGGAUGCCGUGAAGACUAGAUCCUGGAAGGAGAGGAUGCCGUGAAGACUAGAACUUGGAAGGAGAGGAUGCCAUGAAGAUUAGAAUUUGGAAGGAGCGGAUGCCGUGAAGACUAGAUCUUGGAAGGAGAGGAUGCCAUGAAGACUAGAACUUGGAAGGAGAGGGUGCCGUGAAGACUAGAACUUGGAAGGAGAGGAUGCUGUGAAGACUAGAACUUGGAAGAAGUGGAUGCCAUGAAGACUAGAACUCGGAAGGAGAGGAUGCCGUGAAGACUAGAUCUUGGAAGGAUGCUGUGAAGACUAGAUCUUGGAAGGAGAUGAUGCCGUGAAGACUAGAUCUUGGAAGGAGAGGAUGCCAUGAAGACUAGAACUUUGAAGGAGAGGAUGCCAUGAAGACUAUAUCUUGGAAGGAGAGGAUGCCAUGAAGACUAGAACUUGGAAGGAGAGGAUGCCAUGAAGACUAGAUCUUGGAAGGAGAGGAUGCCAUGAAGACUAGAACUUUGAAGGAGAGGAUGCCGUGAAGACUAGAUCUUGGAAGAAGAGGAUGCCGUGAAGACUAGAUCUUGGAAGGAGAGGAUGCUGUGAAGACUAGAUCUUGGAAGGAGAGGAUGCCGUGAAGACUAGAAUUUGGAAGGAGAGGAUGCCGUGAAGACUAGAACUUGGAAGAAGAGGAUGCCGUGAAGACUAGAUCUUGGAAGGAGAGGAUGCUGUGAAGACUAGAACUUGGAAGAAGAGGAUGCCAUGAAGACUAGAACUUGGAAGGAGAGGAUGCCGUGAAGACUAGAUCUUGGAAGGAGAGGAUGCCGUGAAGACUAGAACUUGGAAGGAGAGGAUGCCGUGAAAACUAGAACUUGGAAGGAGAGGAUGCUGUGAAGACUAGAUCUUGGAAGGAUGCUGUGAAGACUAGAUCUUGGAAGGAGAGGAUGCCGUGAAGACUAGAUCUUGGAAGGAGAGGAUGCCGUGAAGACUAGAUCUUGGAAGGAUGCUGUGAAGACUAGAUCUUGGAAGGAGAGGAUGCCAUGAAGACUAGAACUUGGAAGGAGAGGAUGCCGUGAAGACUAGAUCUUGGAAGGAUGCUGUGAAGACUAGAUCUUGGAAGGAGAGGAUGCCGUGAAGACUAGAUCUUGGAAGAAGAGGAUGCCGUGAAGACUAGAUCUUGGAAGGAGAGGAUGCCAUGAAGACUAGAUCUUGGAAGGAGAGGAUGCCGUGAAGACUAGAAUUUGGAAGGAGAGGAUGCCGUGAAGACUAGAACUUGGAAGAAGAGGAUGCCGUGAAGACUAGAACUUGGAAGGAGAGGAUGCUGUGAAGACUAGAACUUGGAAGAAGAGGAUGCUGUGAAGACUAGAACUUGGAAGGAGAGGAUGCUGUGAAGACUAGAACUUGGAAGAAGAGGAUGCCAUGAAGACUAGAACUUGGAAGGAGAGGAUGCCGUGUAGACUAGAACUUGGAAGGAGAGGAUGCCGUGAAGACUAGAACUUGGAAGGAGAGGAUGUCGUGAAGACUAGAUCUUGGAAGGAGAGGAUGCCGUGAAGACUAGAACUUGGAAGGAGAGGAUGCCGUGAAAACUAGAACUUGGAAGGAGAGGAUGCCCUGAAGACUAGAACUUGGAAGGAGAGGAUGCCGUGAAGACUAGAACUUGGUUUUAGUUCCUAUCCACUUUUUUCAUUGUUCAGCUUUCACAACCAUUCAUAGGAAGGGGAAAUUAAUAUGACAGUUUGGAUUAUCCUAACUUUGGUAUUCAAUUAUAUAUUUUAACACUUCAAGAUCUCCUCUAGUUCCUUCAUAGUUUCCCUUGCAAGUGCAUCUGUACUUUAGAAUGAUUGCCAUUUGAUAGCACUGAAACUGAUAUGGAAUUAUUGGAGUUGUGAUUUGGGGAGGCAUCAGCCCUUUUUGGCACGGAAGAACCUUGUAAAGUUACAACUCCCACAAUUCCAUAACAUUGAGCCAUGACAGUUUAAAGUGGUGUUAAAUUGCAUUAUGUCUACAGUGUACGCACCUUUAAUCUUUUGAUUUCUUGACUGUAAUCUCCACUCUAAUACCUGAGCAAAGGUAUGGAAGAUCUUGAACUUUUCCAAUAUUUUUCAAUGCAGGAAGCUAGAAGCAUGCAUUGAUACUUAAUAAGUAUUAACACAGUCAUCUUGCAAAUAGUCCUAGUUUCCAUACCUGCAAUGUUCACAUAAGACCGGUGUUUGUUUGAAUGUGUGUAUGUGAGGCUCCAUCUACACUGUCAUAUAAUGCAGUUUGAAACUGAUCAGUGUAAACACAUAUAACACAGUUUAACUGCAUUGAACUGCAUUAUAUGAGUCUACCUUGACCAUAUAAUGCAGUUUCAAAUUGUAUUACAGUGUGGAUGGGGCCAGAGAGACGGUAAAAGACACAGUAAAAGACCUAUCCCUCAUGCUUGUAUUGCUGGAAAAUAGAAUUCACUCUUCCCUACCAUUGUAGUUCCUUAGUGUAGAAAAGAAAACAAUGCUAUGAGGUUAAAAAGUUAGUUUCCCUUCACUUCCUAACUGUCACUUGUCUUUCUUUUAAGCAUCAGAAGUGUCAAGCGUUCCUUUUCCUUUGAAAAAAAAAGUUUGAAAAAAAGAAAAGGAAGGAAACAAUGUCUCCCUUUCUUAAAUAUUAUUACAAAGUACGUAAGAGGGUUUCCUUUAGUUAUUGUGUUUUCAAAGCAAUUUGACAAUGGUUACAUUCAUUGUGAUACAACCUAAUACAGCUCACAUUUGUGGAGUCUUGACAGCUCACUGGAACUUUUUAUAUCAAUAUCUUUGAUGGAUAUUGGAAUGUUAUGCAGUUAAAUAAACUUACCCCUCUUAAAUAAGGCUGUGCUAAGUAUAUUAAUGCAUUUACACUGUCAAAUUAAUGUUCUACUUGAACUGAUAUAACUAAACGGUAUGAAAUAUUAGGAUCUGUAGUUUGGCGAGGCAUUAGAAGAGGCUAAAGACCUUGUAAAAACUAGGUAAAGGUAAAGGUUUUCCACUGAUAUUAAGUCUAAUUGUGUCUGACUCUGCGGACAUCUCCAUUUUUCAGCUGAAGAGCCAGCGUUGUCCGUAGACACCUCCAAGGUCAUGUGGCUGGCAUGACUGUAUGGAGCACCAUUACCUUCCUGCCGGAGCAGUAUCAAUUGAUCUACUCACAUUUACAUGUGUUCGAACUGCUAGGUUAGCAGAAGCUGGGGCUAACAGUGGGAGCUCACCCUGCUCCCUGUAUUCAAACCACUGACCUUUUGGUCAGCAAGUUCAGCAGCUCAGCAGUUUAACCUGCUGUGCCACCGGUGACAACAAAACUACAAGUCCAAAAAUCCCAUAGCAUUGAAAUAUAACUGUUGAAGUAGUAUCAUUCUGCAUUAAUUCUGCAGUGUAGAUGCACCCAAAGUUUUAUAAUUCAGAAUGCAGAUAUGUCCCUAAUUUCAUCCCAUCAUCAAAAAAGCAACUUUGUUUUUGAAGCCUCUGAUGUACUCCCAGCCAAACUGGAUAAAGCGAAAAACCCAGAAAGUAUUGAUUGAGAAGACUGGGGAGUGUGAGAGUGAACGUGAGACCAACUGCCCUUUUGGGCAUCUACAUUGUCUUUCCUUUGUCAAUAUUGCCUUGUUGAUCUUGGCUGAGAGGGGGUUUCUUAGGUUUUAUUAGGUCUCUUAAAUCCGAUUACUCUCUUUGUGGCUCCCACCCGCCUCCCAGCGGCUCCCCAUUUGGUAUUUACCUUUGGGUGUCCCCAGUGAACUCUGACGCUUGCUCAAAAUUGCACACAGAUAUGUGUGUGUGCCUCUCUCUCUCUUUCCUUACUUCUCUCACCUUCUGUUCAAUGCCAGCUCUAGCCAAACACAGCAGGGAUGUGUUAAUUAAUCAGUGUAAACAGAAUCUUGGGAAGUGGUUUAAGGCAUCUUGCUCCUCGAUUAGGGCUUCCCUGGAGCAGCAAGCCAUCCUUCAUCCCGGAGAUACAAAGCCAUAGGAAGAGAGACACAGAGAUAAGCAUGGCAGCUCUGUAUCCUCUGUAUGACUAGAACCACAUAACUUACCAUUUUUGUUCUUGUGUGCCUUCAAGUUGUUUCUGACAUAUGGGAAUCGUAAGGCAAACCUUUAGCUGGAUUUUCUAGGCUACAUUUCUUGAAAGGUUUGCCAUUGCUUUCCUUGGAAUUAUUCACUCAAAGUCGUUGCUGAGUAGGAGUGUGUGACUCGGCAAAAACCCACCCCAUUUUUGGUUGCGCCUCCAUUCUGUUCACCUUAAAGUUCUCGAAUUUUGGAGGGGGUUCCAUUUGCAUGCAGAAUAAUAUUCGUUCCAUUGGCACCAAUUGUCCUGUUUUGUCUUUCAAGAACAGCUUUAAAACAAUGUGAUAAGUAAAUGAAAACAUAAAGCAAAACAUAAAGAACAUCACACUUAGUGGUAUAAUGCAAAAGAAAGCAAGGAAGUCUUAGGGCAAGCACAGUUCUUAAGUCUCUGAUAAAUUCCCAAAUCAAGUAGCAGUCUUACUUCAGACAAAGAAACAGCAAUAAAUCCUUAGGAGCAGUUUCCCAGAUGCAGACUCGAAGCAGGCACAAGGGGAGCGAAGGCUUAGGCAUUAGAGCCAGUUUGUUACCAGCAAAAGCUGACUGCACCUGCUUCUGAUUUAUAGCUCUGAAUUCCCCCACAGCUGCUGGGGUGGUUCCCAAUUACUUGGCUGUAUUUUUGGCAGCUUUUCUAGCUGAACAACGUCUCUACUCUGUUUCCUUUCACCUUUCCUGAAAUGUGGGUCCCUCCAAACUCUCCUCCUCAGAUUCUGACUGCCCCUCUGACCCAUGAACACUUUCCUGCUCCCCUUCCUCUUCAGAAGAAGAGGAAUCCCUAACACCAAUGGGAAUACUUCAGAGGCUCGAUUCUAGUCUUAUCAGCAUACAUACAUCUCACCUCACUUGUAGGCCACAUUUACUAUUGGGAUGCAAUGGAUCACGACCUGUUAGGAUCUCAAUCCAUCAAGGGCAGCAGAGUUUGAGCUGAGUGUUCCUUGAGUUUAUUUGAUGCUUUAGGCAGGCAAAGAUACAAGCAGACUUCUUUUAGAUAUAACAAUGUUUUUUUAGUUGUAACUUCUUGUAUUUAAUGAUACAGGCACAUUUCUUUUGUCAGGAUAAACUUCAAAAUGAUUAGAGAGUUUGUAUAUUAAACUUAUCUUCUUUUACCGUCUCUUCAUAAACUAUAUUGCUUUAAGCAGCCAUCUUCAAUAUGAGUGUACUUUAAAAGAAAACACAAGCCUCAACAGUUCCAACUUCUAACAUUAUCUUCCGCACUCUAACAGAGUUCUACACUCAAGCUGACUCGAGGCUACAAAAACAAAGUUAUUGUUAUUAUUAUAUCUUCCAAAUAAGGUACACCAAAACGAUACGUUGCAUACCCCUGAGGGGCUGUGAUGGUGCAGCGGGUUAAAUCAUUAAGCUACAGAACUUGCUAAUCGGAAGUUCGGUGUUCAAAUCCAUGAGACAGGGUGAGCUCUUGUUAGUAUACACUGUAGUUUGACACUCCCCCCCCCCCCGGUGUCUGGAGUGACUUGUGGAACUGCAAGUGUCUUCUGGAGCGAGAGAAUUGGCCAUCUGUAAGGAUGUUGCUCAGAUGUUUUGAUGUGUUUACCACCCUUGUGGAAGGCUUCUCUUGUGUCCCUGCAUGGGGAGCUGGAGCUGAUAGAGGGAGUUCAUCCGUGCUCUCCCUGGUAUGGAUUUGAACCAGCAACCUUUAGGUUAGCAACCCAACCUUCAAGUCAGCAGUUCUGCUGGCACAAGGGUUUAACCCACUGAAUGCUAUGGAAUCCUGGGAGUUGUAGAUUCACAAGGUCUUUAGCCUUCUCUGCCAAAGAGGGCUGGUGCCUUACUGAGCUACAACUCCCAGGACCUCAUAACAUUGAGCCAUGGCAGUCCAAGUGCAUUAAUUCUAUGGUGUAGAUGCACCCAGAGCUGUCGUAGGGCUGCUCCGCCGCAUACUUCCCAUCUCCCCCUUUCUAUGCGCCGGCUUUGCACUCCAUUCCAUAGAUGCUGCCCCCUUAUAUCAGUAACAAACAAGCAUUGAUUUUAUGGUAAAGUCACUUUGGGAUGGGAAUGAGUAACUCCAGGCAGUGCUAUCACUGUAUUACAUGGAAAUGGCCCAGGUAACAAGAUGAACAUUGAUUCAGCAUUAUGUUUGAUCAAUAAUGAAAUAAGUAACUUCAGGGCCAAAUUAAAAUGCAAGCUGGCUGAACGCUGCCAGCUUCUGGGCUAAGUGACAAGGCUAAUUCAGCAGGGAAAUGGCAAUAUUUGCAUUAGAGGCUGCAUCUGUUGUCUAGCAGAAAAAACGAGGUUGAAGGGUGUGUGUGUGUGUGUUUAUAGAGCGGGGGGCUUGGAUCCAUAUCAAGGCAACAUGAAAUAACUUCAAAGCCCGGAUGCUCACUUUAAGGAUAGGAAAUGCAACCACGGCACAAGCAGAUACAGAGGCGCUUCAUUCGGUAUCAUCUAACAAAUGUCUGCCCCCAAGUUACCAUUUUUGGAAAAUAAAGAUCAAGGUAGGUUUACAAUCCUGUCAAGGGAGCAACAGGAAGCAAACAGUAUUCAUAUAUGCAAGGAUAUACAACCGUUGAAUCAAUGAAGGUGACAUAAACAUUGACCCAUUGAAUCGAUGGAGCUGAGAUAAAGUGAAGCCCUUGAAGCAAUGGAGCUGAUAGAAGUGUUGACUUACCAAGAGUGCAUCUACAUUAUAGAAUAAAUGCAGUUUGACACCGCCAUGGUUCAAUUUUAUGGAAAAGUGGUUCUCAACCUUCCUAAUGCCGUGACCCCUUAAUACAGUUCCUCAUGUUGUGGUGACCCCUAAUAAUAAUAAUAAUAAUAAUAAUAAUAAUAAUAAUAAUAAUAAUAAUAAUUAGGGCCUGAUCCUUGCAGCCCAGAAGCAAGCCAUCAGAACAAAUGCAAUUAAGGCCAAGAUUGAAAAAUCAGCUGAUGACCCAAAAUGCAGACUGUGCAAGGCAACCGACGAAACCAUUGAUCAUAUCCUCAGCUGCUGUAAGAAAAUCGCACAGACAGACUACAAACAGAGGCACAACUAUGUGGCCCAAAUGAUUCAUUGGAACUUAUGCCUCAAGUACCACCUCCCAGCAGUAAAGAACUGGUGGAAUCACAAACCUGCAAAAGUAUUGGAAAAUGAGCACGCAAAGAUACUGUGGGACUUCCGAAUCCAGACUGACAAAGUUCUGGAACACAACACACCAGACAUCACAGUUGUGGAAAAGAAAAAGGUUUGGAUCAUUGAUGUUGCCAUCCCAGGUGACAGUCGCAUUGACGAAAAACAACAGGAAAAACUCAGCCGCUAUCAGGACCUCAAGAUUGAACUUCAAAGACUCUGGCAGAAACCAGUGCAGGUGGUCCCGGUGGUGAUCGGCACAUUGGAUGCCGUGCCAAAAGAUCUCAGCCGGCAUUUGGAAACAAUAGACAUUGACAAAAUCACGAUUUGCCAACUGCAAAAGGUCACCCUACUGGGAUCUGCGCUCAUCAUCCGAAAAUACAUCACACAGUCCUAGACACUUGGGAAGUGUUCAACUUGUGAUUUUGUGAUAUGAAAUCCAGCAUAUCUAUCUUGUUUGCUGUGUCAUAAUAAAAUAAUAAUAGUAAUUUUGCCAUGCCAAAAGAUCUCAGCCAGCAUUUGGAAACAAUAGACAUUGACAAAAUCACGAUCUGCCAAUUGCAAAAAGCCACCCUACUGGGAUCUGCAGGCAUCAUCCGAAAAAACAUCUCACAGUCCUAGAAACUUGGGAAGUGUUCGACUUGUGAUUUUGUGAUACGAAAUCCAGCAUAUCUAUCUUGUUUGCUGUGUCAUAAAAUAUUAAUAUUAAUAAUAAUAAUAACCAUAGAAUUAUUUUCGUUGCUACUUCAAAACUGUAAUUUUGCUAUUGUUAUGAAUCAUAAUGUAAAUAUCUGAAAUCCAGAAUGUAUUUUCAUUCACUGGACCAAAUUUGGCACAAAUACCCAAUAUGCCCAAAUUUGAGUGCUGGCGGGGUUGGGGACGACAACUGAUUUUGUCAUUUGGGAGUUGUAAUUUCUGGGAUUUAUAGUUCACCUACAAUCAAAGAGCAUUCUGAACUCCACCAACAAUUGAACUGAACCAAACGUGGCACGCAGAACUCCCAACGGAAAAUACUGGAAAGGUUUGGUAGGCAUUGACCUUGCGUUUUGGAGUUAUAGUUUGCCUACAUCCAGAGAGCACUGUGGACUCAAACAAUGAUGGAUCUGGACCAGACUUGGCACAAAUACUCAAUAUGCCCAAAUUUGAACACUGGUGGAAUUUGGGGAAAAUACACCUUAACAUUAUGGAGUUGUAUGCUUCUAGCAGUUCGAAAACAUGCAAAUGUGAGUAGAUCUAUAGGUACCACUCCGGCAGGAAGGUAACGGCACUCCAUGUAGUCAUGCUGGCCAUAUGACCUUGGAGGUGUCUACAGACAAUGCCGGCUCUUUGGCUUAGAAAUGGUGAUCAGCGCCAACCCCCAGUCGUUCACAACUGGACUUAACGUCAAGGGAAACCUUUACCUUUUACCUAUUUGAUCAAUGAUCUCCCCCCAAUAGAAGGUUGUGUGACUGUCACUUAUUGUUAUUUGAGUUGUAAGGUUUUAUUUUGUUUAAUAAUGUGUUUUUUAUGCUGUUUAUGUACUGUAUGCUGUUUGUAUUUAUUGUUGGAAACUGCCCUGAGUCCGUUCGGGGAGAUAGAGCAGUAUAUAAAUAAAGUUUUACCUACUUUUUACUUACUUUUUUUAUUACUUGCAAAACAUAAUAGUAAUAGUUAAUCAGCCCCAGAGGGUUUUUAAUAAUCUAUCCCGUAUUUAUUACGAUUUUUACCAUUUAUGUGUUUUAAAUGCAAUUUUUUAUCCUGUAUUUUUGUUUUAAUUGAUAUAUUGUAUUACUGUUUUAUCUUUUUAUAGUGUGAUUUGUAUUAUGUUACCUAUGUUUUGUUCUAUGUUGUUUGGGCCUCUGCCCCAUGUAAGCCGCCCCGAGUCCCCGUGGGGAGAUGGUGGAGGGGUAUAAAUAAACUUUUAUUAUUAUUGGGUUGUUGUAUGUCUUUCGGGCUGUGUGGCCAUGUUCCAGAAGUAUUCUCUCCUGACGUUUCGCCCACAUCUAUGGCAGGCAUCCUCAGAGGUUGUGAGGUAUGGAUAAACUAAGUAAGGAAAGGAAAGAAUAUAUAUCUGUGUAGAGUCCAGGGUGUGGCAAGAGUCCUUUAUCACUGGGAGCCAGCAUUAAUGUUUCAGUUAAUCACCCUAAUUAGCAUUGGAAAUGUUUUGUCUCUUGCCUGGGGGCAUCCUUUGUUCAGUCAAGCCCUCAGAGUGUUGGUUCCCAUCUACUGUUUUGAUUUUGGAGUUUUGUAAUACUGGUAGCCAGAUUUUGUUCAUUUUCAUGGUUUCUUCCUUUCUGUUGAAGUUGUCCACAUGCUUGUUUAUUUCAAUGGCUUCUCUGUGUAGUCUGACAUGAUAGUUGUUAGAAUGGUCCAGCAUUUUUGUGUUCUCAAAUAGUAUUCUGUGUCCAGGCUGGUUCAUCAAAUGCUCUGCUAUGGCUGAUUUCUCUGGUUGAAUUAGUCUGCAGUGCCUUUCAUGUUCUUUGACUCUUGUUUGGGCAUCGCUGCGUUUGGUGGUCCCUAUGUAUACUUGUCCACAGCUGCACAAAGAAUCUGCGAACCUCACCUCCUCCAAGGUGAACUCAACUACCUAAACUGGGCUCUACAGGCCAAUGGAUACUCCACCACAGACAUCAGAAGAGCUGCAAGGCCAAGAACAAGCCCUGAGAGUCAAGACAAAGAUCCACCCAGAGGAAAGGUGUUCUUACCAUACAUCAAGGGAACCACUGACCGCAUAGGCAAACGGAUGAAGAAACACAACCUACAAACUAUCUACAGACCCACAAAGAAAAUCCAACAAAUGCUACAGUCAGCGAAGGACAAGAGGGAUCCUCUCUCCUCUGCAGGAGUCUACCGGAUACCAUGCAGCUGUGGACAAGUCUACAUAGAGACCACCAAACGCAGCGAUGCCCAAACAAGAAUCAAAGAACAUGAAAGGCACUGCAGACUAAUUCAACCAGAGAAAUCAGCCAUAGCAGAGCAUUUGAUGAACCAGCCUGGACAAAGGAUAUUAUUUGAGAACACAAAAAUGCUGGACCAUUCCAACAACUAUCAUGUCAGACUACACAGAGAAGCCAUUGAAAUCCACAAGCAUGUGGACAACUUCAACAGAAAGGAAGAAACCAUGAAAAUGAACAAAAUCUGGCUACCAGUAUUACAAAACUCCAAAAUCAAAACAGUAGAUGGGAACCAACACUCUGAGGGCUUGACU